UAUAGUGUAAUUGGACUUUCAGAAACACUUUAACAAGGUCCCUCACCAAAGGCUCUCAAGCAAAGUAGGCAGUCGUGGGAUAAGAGGGAACAAAGGGGAGGA